CAAAAUAGCCGAACCAACUGCAAAUCAACUGUUAAAUGGAUGUACUUAGGAUUUAGAAAUCACAAAAAGUACAAUAUGGCUUGCCGUACUUCAUUUAAUUUGAUAGUUUUGUAACCGGCUAAAUUGACAUUUAUUUUAUGGGCGGAAGCCCUCUUCAAAUAGUGCGCUCAGGCAAGACAUCCACACGAAACACGCUCAUCGACAGACAAUGGGAGAGCUCUGACAGACCCGAGGGAGAGAGUGCUUGAAUUCCAUUUGCUGCCAUGGAGCUAAAAACCAGCGGGAAGUAGCGCCCAUAGAGUUAAAAACUUUGAGAACUGUUGAUUAAACAGUUAUCUCAUUGCUUACUUUACGUCGAGAAAACGCGUUUUCUAAACACUUCGGCUUUGAUACAUGUUAAAACACCUACUCUUUCCGUAAUACUGAAAGUGUUUGAUCUAGAUUUAUUAUAAGCCCUUGAGAGGGUGAGAAAUAUUACAUUACAUUAGCGCAAUAAAAAGUAACUAACCAAUUAUAGAAAUAGCCGAAACCCUUCGCAAAUAAUUCACACACGUAAAAGAUUUGAGACUUACAAAUAGUUUUUUUUCCGGAGCAUAAUAAAAGAGACAUAGAAAAGGUUUUAUUUCUUUGAAAUUCAAGCUGACAAGUUCCCGGCGAAGAGAGAGACAGAAGGAGUUUUUGUCAAAGUACGAUUCGUUUGUUCAUCUCAGUAAAUUCGCACAAAAUAGCUCGGAUUACUGUCAAUACUCUUUUGUAAUGAAAGUAUUUUUUCUUCGAUGACAGAAGUGUCAGCCCGAACUUGAGCUUACGAUUCUUCGUUUUGUUUUAGUACCGGUUUCGCGUUCAACUUGUCAGCGUAUUGCUAAAGCUCAUAAGAAAAUAGCCAUACUAUACUCAUAAAACCCAACCAAUUGACAACUAUUGCCAAUAAACCACAAAACAACGACAUUCAAGUUUUCGCACUGAAACCUUGGCGAGCGUUAGGACAUUUCCAACAGAAACGUCUCAAGAGUUUACUUGGUAAAGACAUCGUCCAAAACAGCUUGCUUCUGUUUCAUUCAAAGUGUAAUCGUUUAUUUUUGAUUAGGUAAUAGUAUCAUGGAUGGACGAGCAAGUAAAAAGCAAAUGUAAGCAGUUUUCAUUAAGCCAUAAGCAUAUGUUUUCCAUCUGUACCGUUCCCAGACAUGACUAAGUAAAUGCAUCCUGGGUCUCAGCAUAAGCAAGAGCAGCUAUAUCCAGACUCAAUAGGUCGACAAAAAUUAUCUGCUCAAAACCCUUCCUUAUUUUGAAAAUAAUUUAGAAGUCUACAAGCACAAAGUAAACUUUCCAGCCCCUUCUAUGCAAUUUUGAAAGGCCAUUGAAUAGAUAUUUAAAAAUCUAUUAGGCGUAGCGAAAAUAAUAUUUGGAUUUCCAAUAAAGACAAUA